ACUUGCUGGUUGACUUAUUUUCCCAGCAACCAAAUUUCCAUCUGCAUCUCUUUCCUCUUUUCACUGAGAAUCUGAGAAUUUGGUUUUCAUUUCUCCAAGGGUUUGGCUUACUAAAAUGAAUCAGCCAGCUGUUUUAACUGAAAUUGCAGACAUCCUUGAAGAAACAUGUCGUGCACAUAAUUUACCUAUAGCUCUAACAUGGGUUUCUUCAUAUCCCCUUAUAAACAACAAAAGAACCUUAAACAUUGUGAAUAGUGCUUGUUAUGUGAAUGAUUUAGGGAUGCAAGGGUUUCUCAAGGCGUGUAUAGGGCAUCAUCUCGAAGAAGGUCAAGGUGUUGCUGGAAAAGCACUUAAAUCGACGCAUCAUUACUCUGUCUCCAAUGUUUGUUGCUUGACGUAGCUGAUUAUCCGUUUGUGGAUGAUGCUAGGAGUUCUGGGCUUCGUUCUGCUUUAGCUAUAAUGUUAAUGAUAAGGGAGGGGUUUUAUAGAAGUAAUGUUGAUUAUGUGGUGGAGUUUUUUCUUCCUGCGAAUCUGGAAGAUUUGGAAGAGAAGACAUUGAUGGAUGGGAUUUCAGCUAGUUUGAGGAAAGGUUGUGAGAAUUCCAAGACUGUUAUAGCACCUGGGUAUAGUGUCCAGCCAUUGCAUUUGUUUGGCAGUUUGAAUUUGAAUCAAAUGAGUCUGGAGAGGAACCAUGAGGAUUCAAGUGAAGUUUCGUUUUCCGAUUGGAAUAACAUUCAGCCUGUUGCUGUUUCUGGGAGCUCUUUGCGGCAUUGUGAGCAGGUGUGCUUCUUUUAAUUGUGGAAUUGUUGUUUCGUAUUCUUUCUUGUUGAUGAAUGGAUUGUUCUGUUGAUGAACAAAUUGAGACUUUUAUUUGGAUCUUGGGGCUUACUUUUUCUUUGAAUAUAUUUCUGCAUACCAAUUGA